rnacentral:rRNA from 1 species
GACGAACGCUGGCGGCGUGCCUAAUACAUGCAAGUUGAGCGCUGAAGGUUGGUACUUGUACCAACUGGAUGAGCAGCGAACGGGUGAGUAACGCGUGGGGAAUCUGCCUUUGAGCGGGGGACAACAUUUGGAAACGAAUGCUAAUACCGCAUAAAAACUUUAAACACAAGUUUUAAGUUUGAAAGAUGCAAUUGCAUCACUCAAAGAUGAUCCCGCGUUGUAUUAGCUAGUUGGUGAGGUAAAGGCUCACCAAGGCGAUGAUACAUAGCCGACCUGAGAGGGUGAUCGGCCACAUUGGGACUGAGACACGGCCCAAACUCCUACGGGAGGCAGCAGUAGGGAAUCUUCGGCAAUGGACGAAAGUCUGACAGAGCAACGCCGCGUGAGUGAAGAAGGUUUUCGGAUCGUAAAACUCUGUUGGUAGAGAAGAACGUUGGUGAGAGUGGAAAGCUCAUCAAGUGACGGUAACUACCCAGAAAGGGACGGCUAACUACGUG